rnacentral:rRNA from 1 species
GAUCCUGGCUCAGGACGAACGCUGGCGGCGUGCCUAACACAUGCAAGUCGAACGGAGAUGUUUAUUUCGGUAGAUAUCUUAGUGGCGCACGGGUGAGUAACGCGUGAAUAACCUGACCCGAAGAGGGGGAUAACACCUGGAAACAAGUGCUAAUACCGCAUAAGACCACGGACCGGCAUCGGUCAGAGGUCAAAGGAGGAAUCCGCUUUGGGAGGGGUUCGCGUCCCAUUAGGUAGUUGGUGAGGUAACGGCCCACCAAGCCG